rnacentral:lncRNA from 1 species
UUGGAAAGGAUUUCAGGGAAGACACAACCCAAAGCACCAAGCAUGGCCCAACGGCAAUGGAUCACCUCAAGCUCACGGUUCCUGGCGAAUGUUUCUGGGUCAGCUGAAAGUCCCGCGGUAUCCCACCCAUAAUCACCCGGAAACUCACCAGUCAAGUAAGAUGGAGUUUGCUCUGAGAAUGGUCCCAAGUACUUUGGUCUAUCUUCUCCAUACCAGGGUCAGCUGAAAGUCCAGCGGUGUCCCACCCAUAAUCACCUGGAAACUCACCAGUCAAGUAAGAAGGAGUUUGCUCGGAGAAUGGUCCCAAGUACUUUGGUCUGUCUUCUCCAUACCUAUUUCAUCAAACCACAAUCUCAUCAAGCUCUAGAUUCAUCAAAUUACAUUUUUACUUUUUCGGUGGAUUAUAAUAUCAGUGUAUUAAAUAUCUCUUAAAUUUUUAGUGUAUCUAUUUAAUUAACACAAAAGGAAAUCUUGAUGCAACAACUAGAAUUGUCGUGUGACCAGGAGGUCAAAAUUUUAAGUCAUGAAAAAUAGUUGCUUGCACAAAUGCGAGGUAAGCUUGAUCAUAAUAUACGUAAUAUGGUCCGACACUUUUUUUCAAAUUUUGCGCAUAGCGAAAAUUUAGUACAGCAGAUUGCUUAUAAAUAGUCGACACGAACAACUCAUGAAUAUAUAAUUCAUUCAAGAUGGGAGAAGAAAUUACCAAA